ACUCAAAUGAAUUGACGGGGACCUGCACAAGUGGUGGAACAUGCGGUUUAAUUCGAUGUCACGCGAAAAACCUUACCAACUCUUGACAUGGCGGUCGCGAGGUGCAGAAAUGUACUUCUUCAGUUCGGCUGGACCGCACACAGGUGUUGCAUGGCCGUCGUCAGCUCGUGUUGUGAGAUGUUAGGUUAAGUCCUGCAACGAGCGCAACCCUUAUCCUUAUUUGCCAGCGAGUAAUGUCGGGAACUAUAAGGAAACUGCCAGCGACAAGCUGGAGGAAGGCGGGGAUGAAGUCAGGUCGGCAUGGCCCUUAUGGGUUGGGCUACACGCGUGUUACAAUGAUAAUUACAAAGGGAAACGAAAGAGCGAUCUGGAGUAAAUCUCAUAAAAGUUAUCUUAGUUCGGAUUGCACUCUGCAACUCGGGUGCAUGAAGUUGGAAUCACUAGUAAUCGUAGAUCAGCAUGCUACGGUGAAUACGUUCACAGGUCUUGUACACACCGCCCGU
rnacentral:rRNA from 1 species